CAUGUGACCUUCCAGAAUGUGUGG
rnacentral:piRNA from 1 species